ACCCGGCUAGCUCAAUUGGUAGAGCAUGAGACUCCUAAUCUCAGAUUUGUGGGUUCGAGCCCCACGUUGGGCG
rfam:Charadrius vociferus contig28552, whole genome shotgun sequence.